GGACUCAUGUAAACAGCACAUGUACCAAAAUUGGAAUGAAACACAGAAAAUUAGCAUGGCCUUUGCAUGAGGAUAGACACUCAGAGCACUACAAGAUGUUUUAAAUCUAA
rnacentral:snRNA from 1 species